GUUGCCCCCCGAAUUAGUGGCCAAAAUAAUUCAGAUGCAAGGUCAGAUAUGUUCUCAAUAGAGUUUCUACUGGGAUGGCUUUGGUUGUGGAUUUCCGAUGUUUGGGCAGUAUGCUCGUGGGUAUCCAAUUGGUGAUAGAAUUUUUUGCUAUGUUUUCUUCUAGUCUAUCCUAUAGUUUAGCUUUAGUUUUGAGGUUCUGGUUGUUCGGUUAUCUUCUUAUCAACCUGUUUAGCUGGCUAUCCUCUCUUAUUUUGUAAUCUUCUCUCU
rnacentral:lncRNA from 1 species